UGAGGAAUAUUGGUCAAUGGGGGCAACCCUGAACAAGCCAAGUCGCGUGAAGGAUGAAGGUCUUCUGGAUUGUAAACUUCUUUUAUACAGGAAUAAAUUGGGGGACGUGUCCCCUUUUGCAUGACCUGUAUGAAUAAGGAUCGGCUAACUCCGUGCCAGCAGCCGCGGUAAUACGGAGGAUCCGAGCGUUAUCCGGAUUUAUUGGGUUUAAAGGGUGCGCAGGCGGGAUGUUAAGUCGGCGGUGAAAUUUUGCAGCUCAACUGUAAAAGGGCCUUCAAUACUGGCUUCCUUGAGUGUGGAUGAAGUAGGCGGAAUUUGUUUUGUAGCGGUGAAAUGCUUAGAUAUCACGAGGAACUCCGAUUGCGCAGGCAGCUUACUAAGCCACAACUGACGCUCAUGCACGAAGGCGUGG
rnacentral:rRNA from 1 species